CCCUUAGAUGUUCUGGGCUGCACGCGCGCUACACUGAAGCGUUCAACGAGUAUUCACCUUGCCCGGGAGGGUUGGGUAAUCUUUUCAAAACGCUUCGUGAUGGGGAUAGAUUAUUGCAAUUAUUAAUCUUCAACGAGGAAUUCCUAGUAAGCGCGAGUCAUCAGCUCGUGCUGAUUACGUCCCUGCCCUUUGUACACACCGCCCGUCGCUCCUACCGAUUGAGGGAUCCGGUGAAUAAUUCGGACUGCAGCAGGCCUGGUCUCCGGGUUUUGCAGCGGAAAGUUUAGUGAACCUUAUCACUUAGAGGAAGGAGAAGUCGUAACA
rnacentral:rRNA from 1 species